AGGCAGCAGUAGGGAAUCUUCACAAUGGGCGCAAGCCUGAUGGAGCAACACCGCGUGAGUGAAGAAGGGUUUCGGCUCGUAAAGCUCUGUUGUUAAAGAAGAACACGUAUGAGAGUAACUGUUCAUACGUUGACGGUAUUUAACCAGAAAGUCACGGCUAACUACGUGCCAGCAGCCGCGGUAAUACGUAGGUGGCAAGCGUUAUCCGGAUUUAUUGGGCGUAAAGAGAGUGCAGGCGGUUUUCUAAGUCUGAUGUGAAAGCCUUCGGCUUAACCGGAGAAGUGCAUCGGAAACUGGAUAACUUGAGUGCAGAAGAGGGUAGUGGAACUCCAUGUGUAGCGGUGGAAUGCGUAGAUAUAUGGAAGAACACCAGUGGCGAAGGCGGCUACCUGGUCUGCAACUGACGCUGAGACUCGAAAGCAUGGGUAGCGAACAGGAUUAGAUACCCUGGUAG
rnacentral:rRNA from 1 species